CAAACGAAGAUUGUACAAUAAUAAAAAGUAGGCUACUGAUUUUCUUUUUGUGACGAUAUGGCGCUGACGCGAAAGGCGGAACAAAUGUGCCCCAACAUUCUAGUCGGACCCUUUAGACUCUAACCUUUAGAGCCUAAGGCUUGCUGGCUGACACAUGGCUGAAGCGUGAGCGAUUCCAACCUACCAAUUACCUGACUAGAGGAAGAAGCAAGAACCACGAAGAAUUAAAGUUCAACACGAAGAGAAAAAAGGACAUUAUGUCCUAUUUCUGCCCCCAAAAGAAAAAGAAAAAUGAUGAAUCAGCAUUGAGACAGAGCCAGAUGAUCCAGGUGUUGAAAAAGCUGAGGAGAAACGUCCAGAAGUUGAGAGCGCUACAGAAAGAGAUCCAGAGGAUUUGAUCUUUGAAAAGAUUGGUUUCCAAAGUGAGGGCACAGAGCAGGGAAGGAAAGACAGAUGAAGAUCCAGAGAGUGAGGCUGAGGGUGACAUACAAGCAGAGUGUGAGACGCAGACAGAAGAUCGAUGUGCAUCUACAAGCAUUGGACCAUCAGAUAUCAGCAAAUGUAAAGAAGACCCACCGAUGCAGCCAAAUCUGAAACUGUUUCCACGGACCUUGAUGGGGGACAGAAGAAGGAGUUUCAAGGCGGCCUGGUACAACAUUCACCCCUGGCUAGAGUAUUCUAAACUGUCGGACU